AUUUAUUGAGUGUAUAUUUCUAGACAUAGAAGCUUGCAGCAGAAGAUAUGAACACUGUAACGUCUCUUGCUAUGUUCUGCCAAGUUGCUUUCUAGGUAUAUUACUCAGCAUCUAUUUCUAUCUGAAGAUGAUGACAGUCCCUGUCUCAACACGUCUUGGCUUCUUCAGCCUAGUUGGCUGUAAAGAAUAAAUUUUAUAAACGAAAGGUGAAAAGAAGUGCAAUGUCCAAGGGGCAGGAAUGAAAAGAAGAGAUAAGUGAAGAAAUGGUUAGAAAGUUGAGCUGGGAGAACUCGCAGUGGACUGGCUGUGGAGUGUUCUUUCCUUAUAUGAAGACAACAGCUUUCACCAGUUUGUUGCGGGGAGAACACGGUCUGUGACUGGAAGGAACAUACGGAUGGUUUGAUCACUGGAGGCCAUGAAGGAUAAACUCAAAUACAGAUACCCAGUCUGCUGGGGGCCCCUAAGCAGAGACGUGCUGGAGGAUGGAGGUGUGUCCUUUUGCGCUUCAAGUUGCAAUGAAUGGAAUCUGCACUUCUGGAUUCACGGGAUCAAAAGCGGAACUCUUCUAUGUAAGAGAGGGGAGAGGAUUCUGAGCUCUCUUUUGGGAAGGAGCAAGAUGCCAAGCUAGGAGGAGGAAAAUAGGAUCAAGAGAGGUGGCCAUGGCAGGAGGGACAGGGAGAUGAGAAAAUUUCUCAAAACUGUAGCGUCUGGAAAGGACUUCUGGUUUAGUGUGAGAUACAUGGUGCAUCCCGUGUCUUCUGAGAUUCUUCCCCCAA